rnacentral:rRNA from 1 species
AGCGGCAGGCUUAACACAUGCAAGUCGAGGGGCAGCGGGGAGGAAGCUUGCUUUCUCCGCCGGCGACCGGCGCACGGGUGAGUAACACGUAUGCAACCUGCCCCUGUCAGGGGGACAACCCGCCGAAAGGCGGGCUAAACCCGCGUACAUGCCACCGGGGCAUCCCGGAGGCAGGAAAGGCUUCGGCCGGACAGGGAUGGGCAUGCGGCGCAUUAGGCAGUAGGCGGGGUAACGGCCCACCUAACCGACGAUGCGUAGGGGUUCUGAGAGGAAGGUCCCCCACACUGGUACUGAGACACGGACCAGACUCCUACGGGAGGCAGCAGUGAGGAAUAUUGGUCAAUGGUCGGGAGACUGAACCAGCCAAGCCGCGUGAGGGAGGAAGGUACAGAGUAUCGUAAACCUCUUUUGUCAGGGAACAAAGACUGGGACGCGUCCCCGGAUGAGUGUACCUGAAGAAAAAGCAUCGGCUAACUCCGUGCCAGCAGCCGCGGUAAUACGGAGGAUGCGAGCGUUAUCCGGAUUUAUUGGGUUUAAAGGGUGCGCAGGCGGUCUGUUAAGUCAGCGGUCAAAGCCCGGGGCUCAACCCCGGCCCGCCGUUGAAACUGGCAGUCUCGAGUUGGAGAGAAGUAUGCGGAAUGCGCGGUGUAGCGGUGAAAUGCAUAGAUAUCGCGCAGAACUCCGAUUGCGAAGGCAGCAUGCCGGCUCCACACUGACGCUGAGGCACGAAAGCGUGGGUAUCGAACAGGAUUAGAUACCCUGGUAGUCCACGCAGUAAACGAUGAAUGCUGGCUGUCCGGGGGGACUGACCCCUGGGUGGCGAAGCGAAAGCGAUAAGCAUUCCACCUGGGGAGUACGCCGGCAACGGUGAAACUCAAAGGAAUUGACGGGGGCCCGCACAAGCGGAGGAACAUGUGGUUUAAUUCGAUGAUACGCGAGGAACCUUACCCGGGCUCAAACGGGGAGUGCCGCAGGCAGAGACGCCUGUUUCCCACGGGACACUCCCCGAGGUGCUGCAUGGUUGUCGUCAGCUCGUGCCGUGAGGUGUCGGCUUAAGUGCCAUAACGAGCGCAACCCCCGCGUGCAGUUGCUAACAGAUAACGCUGAGGACUCUGCACGGACUGCCGGCGCAAGCCGCGAGGAAGGCGGGGAUGACGUCAAAUCAGCACGGCCCUUACGUCCGGGGCGACACACGUGUUACAAUGGGUGGUACAGCGGGAAGCCAGGCGGCGACGCCGAGCGGAACCCGAAAUCCACUCUCAGUUCGGAUCGGAGUCUGCAACCCGACUCCGUGAAGCUGGAUUCGCUAGUAAUCGCGCAUCAGCCAUGGCGCGGUGAAUACGUUCCCGGGCC